CUGUCCAGUCCUUUCACAGACACUGACACAGGCAGCAUUAUGAUGAUGUUAAACUUUCUACUGCUGGUGAUGCUGGGACUCUUUGCUCAGGAAUCGAUGGCAGAUGUAGUUCUGACCCAGUCUCCAUCAGCUCAGUCUGUUCA